rnacentral:rRNA from 1 species
UACGAAGGGGGCUAGCGUUGCUCGGAAUUACUGGGCGUAAAGGGAGCGUAGGCGGACAGUUUAGUCAGUGGUGAAAGCCCCAGGGCUCAACCUUGGAAUUGCCAUUGAUACUGAUUGUCUUGAGUAUGGGAGAGGUGUGCGGAACUCCGAGUGUAGAGGUGAAAUUCGUAGAUAUUCGGAAGAACACCAGUGGCGAAGGCGGCACACUGGCCCAUUACUGACGCUGAGGCUCGAAAGCGUGGGGAGCAAACAGG